rnacentral:tRNA from 1 species
GGCUUGUGGCUCAGAUGUAGAGCACUCGCCUAGCAUGUGUGAGAUACUGGGUUCAAUCCUCAGUACCA